AGCAGCCGCGGUAAUUCCAGCUCCAAUAGCGUAUAUUAAAGUUGUUGCAGUUAAAAGCUCGUAGUUGAAUUUCGGGAUCAAUUAAUCGGUCGUGCCUCUGGUACGCACUGGUUUUAUUGGUUUCUCCCUUCUGACGAACCAGGAUGUCAUUAAUUUGGUGUCUUGGAGAAUCAGGACUGUUACUUUGAAAAAUUGAGUGUUUAAAGCAGGCUAACGCUUGAAUACAUUAGCAUGGAAUAAUGAAAUAGGACGUUUGAUCCUAUUUUGUUGGUUUCUAGGAUCGACGUAAUGAUUAAUAGGGAUAGUUGGGGGCAUUAGUAUUCAAUUGUCAGAGGUGAAAUUCUUGGAUUUAUUGAAGACUAACUACUGCGAAAGCAUUUGCCAAGGAUGUUUUCAUUAAUCAAGAACGAAAGUUAGGGGAUCGAAGACGAUCAAAUACCGUCGUAGUCUUAACCAUAAACUAUGCCGACUAGGGAUCGGAUGAUGUUAAUUUUCUAAUGACUCAUUCGGCGCCUUAAC
rnacentral:misc_RNA from 1 species